ACGCUCGACACCUACUGGAGGCAGCAGUCGGGAAUAUUGCGCAAUGGAGGAAACUCUGACGCAGUGACGCCGCGUAUAGGAAGAAGGUUUUCGGAUUGUAAACUAUUGUCGUUAGGGAAGAGAAAGGACAGUACCUAAGGAGGAAGCUCCGGCUAACUACGUGCCAGUAGCCGCGGUAAUCUGAGCGGGCUGGCAAGGC
rnacentral:rRNA from 1 species